UACGGGGGGGGCAAGCGUUGUUCGGAAUUACUGGGCGUAAAGGGCUCGUAGGCGGCCAACUAAGUCGGACGUGAAAUCCCUCAGCUUAACUGGGGAACUGCGUCCGAUACUGGAUGGCUUGGAUUUGGGAGAGGGAUGCGGAAUUCCAGGUGUAGCGGUGAAAUGCGCAGAUAUCAGGAGGAACACCUAUGGCGAAGGCAGCUCGCUGGGACGGUACUGACGCUGAGGCGCGAAAGCGUGGGGAGCGAACAGG
rnacentral:rRNA from 1 species